rnacentral:rRNA from 1 species
CAGUCGCCGCGGUAAUACGUAGGCGGCAAGCGUUGUCCGGAAUUAUUGGGCGUAAAGGGCUCGCAGGCGGUUUCUUAAGUCUGAUGUGAAAGCCCCCGGCUCAACCGGGGAGGGUCAUUGGAAACUGGGAAACUUGAGUGCAGAAGAGGAGAGUGGAAUUCCACGUGUAGCGGUGAAAUGCGUAGAGAUGUGGAGGAACACCAGUGGCGAAGGCGACUCUCUGGUCUGUAACUGACGCUGAGGAGCGAAAGCGUGGGGAGCGAACAGGAUUAGAUACCCCGGUAGUCCCUGUCUCUUAUAC